rnacentral:lncRNA from 1 species
ACCGCGGGCCGGGCCGACCAGCCGACCCGGCUACCCCGGACCCGUGCGGGAUCCCACCCCGAGCGUCUGCUGCCGACCUCUGGGAGCUUGUUCCUAGGGACGUGGUCGAUGGUCAGAAUAGACCUGUGCUCAGGACCCAUCCGCUCUGUGGCCUUCGGCGCUGGAGAGACCCUGAUUUCUGGCUUGCCUAAUCGGCAUUUGAUUUUCCAAGGGACGCGGUGCUUGAAAAAGUACGCGUAAACACACGGCACACACGCAUGCGCGCGCAUGAAGCCAGGGACAGGCAGAAGGAGGGAGAGGAAGGAAGGGAGAGGGAGAAGGGAGGGAGAGGAAAGGAGUGGAGAGAGGAAAGGAGGGGGAGGGCGGUGGGCUCCCGGAGCUACAAGAUGAUUCCGGAAAGAGGAAUCCCAGUUGACUCGUUGGAGCAGGCUCCAAAAUCAACCUAAUACCAACUUUUCUGUAUGUGUAUCUGUGUGUCUGUCCGUCAUUCUAUUGAUGUCCCCAGUCAGGUUUCCAGGACCAAGCUGUGCAGGAGGUGACAGAAGAGGGUGUCAGAUAACCUGGAACUGGAGCUACAGAUAUUUGUGAGGUACCGUGUGGGAGCUGGGGUCAAACUCAGGUCCUCUGCAAAAGCCACUGAACCACAUCUCCAGUCCCUGUUAUUAAACCUUAAUAGAAUAUAUGGUUUACAGGCACACCAAUCCUGAGCCUGUGCGUUCCCCUAGACACUCCCCUUAUGCUGUCUUAUAAGAUCUCUGCCCCGUGGUUUCUUGGGGUCUUUCCCCAGCCAUCCGCCAUGGUGGAUGGAUGAAAGGCCUGAGCUAAUGGGGUUAGCUCAUUAAACAACUGCAAUAAAAGACUCAUUGCUUUUGCAUCGGAAAAAAAAAAAUAUGGUUUACAACCAUAGGUUGAUUUUCAUUUUUGUUUCUUUUUAUUAUUUAUAUUUAUCAUUUAUUUUUAUAUAUUUUAAAUAUAUUUCUUGAGAAGAGAUCUUGCUAGGUACCUCAGGCUGCCUCAAACUUGUGACCUGUUUAUCUUAGCCUCCAAGUGAUACAAGUGUAUUACCAAGCCCAUCUGUU